rnacentral:rRNA from 2 species
UACGUAGGUGGCAAGCGUUGUCCGGAAUUACUGGGUGUAAAGGGAGUGUAGGCGGGAUGUCAAGUCAGAAGUGAAAAUUACGGGCUCAACUCGUAACCUGCUUUUGAAACUGACAUUCUUGAGUGAAGUAGAGGCAAGCGGAAUUCCUAGUGUAGCGGUGAAAUGCGUAGAUAUUAGGAGGAACACCAGUGGCGAAGGCGGCUUGCUGGGCUUUUACUGACGCUGAGGCUCGAAAGCGUGGGGAGCAAACAGG